rnacentral:lncRNA from 1 species
UUUUCAAAACCAACGCACCUUAAAAUAUAUUUAAGCAUAUACUCUUGGUCUAGCCUGUUUCAGUAGUCCGUCUAAUUUAAAAUGCUGUCUUGAAAUCAAGAGUUCGAGUUCAUCGAAUCUUCCCUUGAGUCAAUCAACAGCACUUUUCGAGCUAUCUGUUUCCCCACAGACGCGUGGGACUGAAGAACUGCGUCCUCGCGGAGACAGCCGGCUGUCACUGUCUCUAGAUGCGUGUUGAAGGAGCGCGCGGGAGGGGUCUGGCUGCGAGAGAUCAUCAUCGAUUGCUGGAGUCUGCAAAGGCACUCCAUCCAGCACAACACAAAUCAGAUGUGGAGCUUUUCCAAUGCAAUAUGAGUGACUCAACUCAUGAGGGGUGAGACAGCACUGGGGAAGGUGUAGAACAGGGGAGGACAGAGAACCGUUUUGCAACCCCUUGGUGUUUACGAGUCCAGGAUUCCGGGAAAUGGAAGUUAUUUUUGACCAUCUAAAGUAGAGCGAAUCUUCAACAUUCCGUCGGACAAGGGGCAGGAAGAGCCGAAGUAACUCAGAUGAGUUAAUUGCAGCCUUCUGUCGACUAAUGUUGCCAUUCGAAUAUCCUUGAAAUAGUCUGAGGAAUCCGUCCUCACAGAAGUAAGAAAAUACUGUCUUGUGCUCGAACAAUUUAAUUUCAAACGUUGUGAGCUGAUUUGAACUGGAGAGACCGUGAAUUAUGCUCUAAUACAUUUUGAAAACAAACUCAAACAUACUCAGACGAGUGGAAAUACUUUAUUGAAACAAGCCUCGAUUGAUAAUCUGCCUCUUUUGCACGGAUUAUCAACAUCAGCUGCCACCAAAAGUGUGAAAGAUGAAGCCCUCAGCCUUCAUGUUCCUCCUUAUCAGCUCAGCCGCCUGCAUCAAUCUCAAAUACAUCUCCAAGAGGAACUCGGAAGAAGAAAAAAGUUACACACCUUCAAUACCCCUGCUUGCCCUGUUUGUGAUGGACGAGGAAUACGAUGGGAGAAGAUUAGGUCAUCAGCGGCGGUCCCUUGCAGUCCGGACUCAACGUUUUGGUAGUGUUGAUCUGUGAUCUACUCCAAACUAUCAAUGCAUCAAUUAUUAAUCAAAAUUGUGUCGAUAUUGCAAGAAAAUAUUGUAAUUUCAUAUAAUACUACAAGGUAGCUUCUCUACCUGCUUUAUUAAUGAUGAUAAAACUAACUGGAUCAAGCUAGCUAACCAGUUUGCUAGUUAGCUAGCUAGCUUAUAAACAGUAAUACAACAUAUGCCUAAAUGUUUUAAAAAGUUAGCUGUCACCUGUCCCUGAAGUGAAGGCAUUUUCACUAUUUGUUAGCUUGCUAGGUUAUAGUACUGUUUAGCUUUUACUGGCCAAAUUAGCUAACGUUAUUGAUGCUAGUUACUAAGAUAAAUAAAACAUCUCAGAUUAGCUACUCAAUUUGUGUUAUUUUAUGAACAGCUUCUCACUUCUUUGUUUCUCCACACACUGUUUACACACAUUUGUGGCGCCCAAAUAAAAAAAUGACAGUCGAAACUCCACAGC